CCUACGGGAGGCAGCAGUGAGGAAUAUUGGUCAAUGGGCGGAAGCCUGAACCAGCCAAGUCGCGUGAGGGAUUAAGGCCCUGCGGGUCGUAAACCUCUUUUGCCGGGGAGCAGAGGUCCGGACGUGUCCGGGCCGGGAGAGUACCCGGAGAAAAAGCAUCGGCUAACUCCGUGCCAGCAGCCGCGGUAAUACGGAGGAUGCGAGCGUUAUCCGGAUUUUUUGGGUUUAAAGGGUGCGUAGGCGGGCUUUUAAGUCAGCGGUAAAAAUUCGGGGCUCAACCCCGUCCGGCCGUUGAAACUGGGGGCCUUGAGUGGGCGAGAAGAAGGCGGAAUGCGUGGUGUAGCGGUGAAAUGCAUAGAUAUCACGCAGAACCCCGAUUGCGAAGGCAGCCUUCCGGCGCCCUACUGACGCUGAGGCACGAAAGUGCGGGGAUCGAACAGGAUUAGAUACCCUUGUAGUC
rnacentral:rRNA from 1 species